ACAAAAAAAAGGGCUUCUUCUCUUCUCUCCUCUCCUUCUUCUUCUCUGUUGAUUCAAAAAAAAAUUCUUCGGAUCUGGGUUUCUCUCUUUCAAUCAUCCUUCAAGCUCAUCUCUUUCUUCAACCCUAGAACGAAAGUCUCCUCCUUUAUUAAUGGGUUGCGUUAGUAGUAAACACCGGAAAACUCAAAACGACGGCGGAGAAAGAACAAUUCCGAUCAAUCCAGCUCAAACCCAUGUCGUUAAUCAAGUCCCUGAGCAUUGUAAACCUCAAAUCCUAACACCCAAACCCAUGAAACAAGCAAUCCUUCAACAGAUUUCAACGCCGUCUUCAAACCCAAUCUCAGUUCGAGAUCCAGAUACGAUUUUAGGUAAACCAUUCGAAGACAUCAGGAAAUCUUACAACUUGGGAAAAGAAUUAGGUCGAGGUCAAUUUGGGAUUACGUAUAUGUGUAAAUAGAUUGGAACUGGGAACACUUAUGCUUGUAAAUCGAUUCUUAAGAGGAAGUUAAUUAGUAAGCAAGAUAAAGAAGAUGUGAAGAGAGAGAGAUUCAGAUAAUGCAGUAUUUGUCUGGACAACCAAAUAUUGUUGAGAUUAAAGGUGCUUAUGAAUAUAGACAAUCUGUGCAUUUGGUUAUGGAGUUGUGUGCUGGUGGUGAGUUGUUUGAUAGGAUUAUAGCUCAAGGUCAUUACUCUGAGAGAGCUGCUGCUGGUAUCAUUAGGUCUAUUGUCAAUGUUUGGUAGUCGACAGUAUGGAGCAGGAGUUGAUGUCUGGGCUGCAGGCUGUAUCUUUGCUGAGCUAUUACUUCGUAGACCAUUUCUUCCGGGUUCUACUGAGAUUGAUCAACUUAGGAAGAUCUUUCAAGCCUUUGGAACUCCAGUACCUUCUCAAUGACAAUCAUUUAUUAUGCACUUGCUGUAACUCAUGACAUCAUGGGCUGUUGUGUGUGAAGUGUGGUACUUGGAACCUCAAACCAUAAGGCCCGGUGAAACAGAGAUUGAGUUUGCAGAGAGGGUAAGAGACAUGAUAUCUCUUCGGGCGGGUCUCAAAAAGGUCCCUUGGGAUGGAUACUGUCAUUAUUCUUUCUAGCUGAAUCUCUGAAGAAUUUUCAGUAGCAUGGUUCUUGGUUUAAUGCAUGUGUGGUUAAAUUAAAACUUUGCUGCAUGUAAUUCAGGAAGCGUUUUGUUUAUAGAGAAAGAGUGGAUGUUUGUAGAUUUUGUGACUACAACUAGUUAUUUAUGUCAUGUCGUCACUUUUUAAUGUUA